UUGGCUGCGUGUGAAAAACAACAACAAACACUUUUAAGAACUAGGAGGCAGACGGGUGGUUUGAUUCUUGUAAAAAGAAAAACGCUGUGGCGGCGGAAGAAAAUGACACGGCCGGCUUCCCACGUGCAACCACGAUGUUUCAUGGAAACAGACGACGCUACCCACGGGCGCUGGGAAACUCAAGGUAGUCCGCGACACCAGAGGACUUCCGGCGGUUUAAACAGGCAUAAAAUUCGGCAAAGCCUUGGGAGGGAUCGUCGCCUUCUUCCCUGGAACCUGGGGAAGCCGUGGUGGCAGCAGACCCAUUUCCGCGAGGCACCCUCCCAGGAAGUGCCUCCCCAGCCACCCGAUCCCGGCGUCUCGCUGAUGUAAACAUAAAGCGGAAGCCACGCAGGGGUGUGCCGCAUGGAUGCACCUGUUCCGUGCUUUAAAACUUUCCCAGCGCCGUUCGGCGAGCCCUCAGUCCUGCCCGGACACAGGUGCCAUUUCGUGUCCCCGUUAGACACAGGGCGUCCAGGAUACGACGGCCACCAAGCAAAAUCCCGCUCGUUCUCUGCGUGAAGAGUCUCGCUUCGCAAGAAUUCAGAACACCUUGACCAUCACGUGACCUUGCAGCUUCUGUGGGACUUGACCCCCCACGUGGCACCACUCUUACACAUCACCUAUCCGUCCAUCUCCAUCCACACUUGUCCACAGCAGUCCUGCAGGAGCUCGGAGCUGUUGAGAUGCGUUCCCAGGUGACAGAGAGGUGUGGGGUGAGGAAGGACACGCAGAAAUACUCUGACCCACAGAAAGGGGAGCGAUACUCUCUGCCUCCAGUCUAAGAAUAGUAGUUGGGCAAGUUUUACAUGCCCAUAAAUUCCCAAGUCCGUCCUCACUGUGUGGGUCUGUAUUACCCAGAAUCUAACCAAAACCAAAGUCAAUUCUAACGGUC